rnacentral:rRNA from 1 species
CGACUGGCGGCGUGCCUAACACAUGCAAGUCGAACGGAGAUCAUAAGGAAUGCGACUUCGGUCAAAUGACUCUUGAACUUAGUGGCGAACGGGUGAGUAACACGUAGGCAACCUGCCCAAAAGAGGGGGAUAACACUUGGAAACAGGUGCUAAUACCGCAUAACCAUGGACACCGCAUGAUGUUCAUGUAAAAGACGGCUUUUGCUGUCACUUUUGGAUGGGCCUGCGGCGUAUUAACUUGUUGGUGGGGUAACGGCCUACCAAGGUGAUGAUACGUAGCCGAACUGAGAGGUUGAUCGGCCACAUUGGGACUGAGACACGGCCCAAACUCCUACGGGAGGCAGCAGUAGGGAAUCUUCCACAAUGGACGAAAGUCUGAUGGAGCAACGCCGCGUGAAUGAAGAAGGCCUUCGGGUCGUAAAAUUCUGUUGUCAGAGAAGAACAUGCGUGAGAGUAACUGUUCACGUAUUGACGGUAUCUGACCAGAAAGCCACGGCUAACUACGUG